AACUUUAUAGUCAUAUGAUGAUAUUAGACUGCAAUUCUAAAGGAGUAGAAACACUACUAAGGUUU
rnacentral:tRNA from 1 species